rnacentral:rRNA from 1 species
AUGACAAGAAUAAAAAAAAUUAUUGAUGCAACAGUGGGUACUGGACCGGAGGAGCAAUGGAGGUUGAUUGGGUUUUAUGGCGAGCCACGUUGGGAGGAUAAACAUCUUUCCUGGACUUAUCUCUGUGGCCUAGCCCAACAAACACAAAUCCCAUGGGUGGUCUUGGGAGAAUUUAAUGAGAUUUUGUAUUCCCAUGAGAAGGAGGGUGGUUCUCCACGCCCUGUUUCUAUGAUGCAGAGAUUUAGAGACGCUCUUGUUGACUGUCAAUUGGAGGAUAUGGGGUUCCAGGGAGACCAAUUCACUUGGAGGCGUCACCGGCUACGUGAACGCCUAGAUAGAGCUGUAUGUAAUGGCCCCUUCCAUGGGUUGUUCCCAGGCGCGAUUGUUACAAAUGCUCCGCAUAUCAAAUCAGACCACAUGCCGAUUGUACUUGGUACAGAUGGUGCGGCGGGAGCUGAGCAACAUACUAGGCGGGAACAGAGGCAGUUCGAAGCAAGAUGGUUGCUGGAGGAAGAGAUGCUUCAGCAGGUCACAGAGGCAUGGGAAUGCACGUGCGUCUCGGCGUCCCUAGCUGAUCGCACUGCCUUGGUGCAUGAACACCUUCAUCGAUGGGAUCGCGAAGUUCUGAGGGCUCCGCAACGUCGAAUGAAGGACUUAAAGGCGGAGCUGGACUCGUUGCGAUCGGGGCCACUCACUGAUGAGUCAGCAGAUAGGCAACGCUCUCUCUUCAUUGAAAUUGAAGAAACUAUGGAGAAGGAGGAGAUUUAUUGA